UACAGAGGGUGCGAGCGUUAAUCGGAAUUACUGGGCGUAAAGCGUGCGUAGACGGUCAUGUAAGUCGGAUGUGAAAGCCCCGGGCUCAACCUGGGAAUUGCAUUCGAGACUGCAAGGCUUGGGUGCGGAAGAGGGAAGCGGAAUUUCCGGUGUAGCGGUGAAAUGCGUAGAUAUCGGAAGGAACACCAGUGGCGAAGGCGGUUGCCUGGGGCUUUGCUGACACUGAGGCGCGACAGCGUGGGGAGCAAACAGG
rnacentral:rRNA from 1 species